UACGGAGGGUGCAAGCGUUAUCCGGAUUCACUGGGUUUAAAGGGUGCGUAGGAGGGCAGGUAAGUCAGUGGUGAAAUCUCCGGGCUUAACUCGGAAACUGCCGUUGAUACUAUCUGUCUUGAAUAUUGUGGAGGUGAGCGGAAUAUGUCAUGUAGCGGUGAAAUGCUUAGAUAUGACAUAGAACACCGAUUGCGAAGGCAGCUCGCUACACAUAUAUUGACUCUGAGGCACGAAAGCGUGGGGAUCAAACAGG
rnacentral:rRNA from 1 species